rnacentral:rRNA from 1 species
CCUACGGGAGACAGCAGUGAGGAAUAUUGGUCAAUGGACGAGAGUCUGAACCAGCCAAGUAGCGUGAAGGAUGACUGCCCUAUGGGUUGUAAACUUCUUUUAUAUGGGAAUAAAAUGUUCCACGUGUGGGAUUUUGUAUGUACCAUAUGAAUAAGGAUCGGCCAACUCCGUUCCAGCAGCCGCGGUAAUACGGAGGAUCCGAGCGUUAUCCAGAUUUAUUGGGUUUAAAGGGAGCGUAGGUGGAUUGUUAAGUCCGUUGUGAAAGUUUGCGGCUCAACCCUAAAAUUGCAGUUGAAACUGGCAGUCUUGAGUACAGGAGAGGUAGGCGGAAUGCGUGGUGUAGCGGUGAAAUGCUUAGAUAUCACGAAGAACUCCGAUUGCGAAGGCAGUUCACUGGACUGCAACUGACACUGAGGCACGAAAGUGUGGGGAUCGAACAGGAUUAGAUACCCUUGUAGUC